rnacentral:rRNA from 1 species
CUCAGAGCGAACGUUUGCGGCGGGCCUAACACAUGCAAGUCGAACGCACUAGCAAUAGUGAGUGGCGCACGGGUGCGUAACACGUGGGUAAUCAACCCUUCAGCUUGGGAUAACGACUUGAAAGGGUCGCUAAUACCGGAUACGGCGCGGGAGGCUUCGGCUUCUCACGAGAAAGCCUCGCAAGGGGCACUGAAGGACGAGCCUGCGGCCCAUCAGCUAGUUGGUGAGGUAAGAGCUCACCAAGGCGAAGACGGGUAGCUGGUCUGAGAGGAUGAUCAGCCACACUGGAACUGAGACACGGUCCAGACUCCUACGGGAGGCAGCAGUGGGGAAUAUUGCGCAAUGGGCGAAAGCCUGACGCAGCCACGCCGCGUGAGCGAUGAAGGCCUUCGGGUCGUAAAGCUCUGUGGGGAGAGACGAAGAAAGCCCGUGAAGAGCGGGCCUUGACGGUAUCUCCUUAGCAAGCACCGGCUAACUCCGUG